rnacentral:rRNA from 1 species
UACGGAAGGUGCAAGCGUUAAUCGGAAUUACUGGGCGUAAAGCGCGCGUAGGCGGCUUGGUAAGUCGGAUGUGAAAGCCCUGGGCUCAACCUGGGAACUGCAUACGAUACUGCCGGGCUAGAGUACGAGAGAGGGGGGUGGAAUUCCAGGUGUAGCGGUGAAAUGCGUAGAGAUCUGGAGGAACACCAGUGGCGAAGGCGGCCCCCUGGUUCGAUACUGACGCUGAGGUGCGAAAGCGUGGGGAGCAAACAGG